rnacentral:rRNA from 1 species
AUGAACACCAAUUCUGAUGACGGAGGCCCUUAUUGGUAUGGCUCUGCGGAGCCGGCACCAGCAGAAGGAAGAGAGAAGAAAGAAAGAGUCACAGCCGACGCUCCUUACACAUGGAUCAUGGCGAACUUUGCGCAUUGCCCUCAUGACGCUAAUGAUGAGGUGGUCCAGAGGUAUGCUCGCAUGUACAUGUGGUAUGAUCUAUCUAGGACUCUCUUCGCUAACGGCGAUGGCAAGAUGAUACGUCUCCAACGUAUCUAUAAUUUUUGUUUGUUCCAUGUUGUUAUAUUAUCAUUCUUGGAUGUUUUACAAUCAUUUUAUAGCAACUUUAUAUCAUUUUUUGGGACUAACCUAUUGACAUAG